AGUGAACGCUGGCGGUGCGCCUAACACAUGCAAGUCGGACGGUAGCACAGAGGAGCUUGCUCCUCGGGUGACGAGUGGCGGACGGGUGAGUAAUGUCUGGGGAUCUGCCCGAUAGAGGGGGAUAACCACUGGAAACGGUGGCUAAUACCGCAUAACGUCGCAAGACCAAAGAGGGGGACCUUCGGGCCUCUCACUAUCGGAUGAACCCAGAUGGGAUUAGCUAGUAGGCGGGGUAAUGGCCCACCUAGGCGACGAUCCCUAGCUGGUCUGAGAGGGUGACCAGCCACACUGGAACUGAGACACGGUCCAGACUCCUACGGGAGGCGGCAGUGGGGAAUAUUGCACAAUGGGCGCAAGCCUGAUGCAGCCAUGCCGCGUGUAUGAAGAAGGCCUUCGGGUUGUAAAGUACUUUCAGCGGGGAGGAAGGCGGUGAGGUUAAUAACCUCGCCGAUUGACGUUGCCCGCAGAAGAAGCACCGGCUAACUCCGUGCCAGCAGCCGCGGUAA
rnacentral:rRNA from 1 species